rnacentral:rRNA from 1 species
UACGUAGGGUGCAAGCGUUAAUCGGAAUUACUGGGCGUAAAGCGUGCGCAGGCGGUUAUGUAAGACAGGUGUGAAAUCCCCGGGCUUAACCUGGGAACUGCAUUUGUGACUGCAUAGCUAGAGUACGGUAGAGGGGGAUGGAAUUCCGCGUGUAGCAGUGAAAUGCGUAGAUAUGCGGAGGAACACCGAUGGCGAAGGCAGCUUACUGGGCUGUAACUGACGCUGAGGCACGAAAGUGUGGGGAUCAAACAGG